UAUUAAACUGCUUGUAGAUUGUAUUACGUGCAUCUGAUGCCAAAGUAUGAUAUAUUAAAGUUGUUCUACAUUUUGUGCUCUACAUCAUGGAAUAAUUUUCAUGAACAUUAGGAAUCAUCAUGAUGUUGUUAAUUGUGUUGCAAAAGUGCAUCCCGUCAUGGAGGGAAUACUGGUAUUUUCUUCUAAGUUUUGUGGAUGAUUGCAAUUAAACUGUAUACCUUUUGUAUGUGGUUUCUUCGUGAGAUGUGCUAUAUAUUAUGUCUGAUUUGAUGCCAUGCCUUUGGGUGCCAUAUAGAACAUCAUUAUCUUGAUACUUUGUGCUCCCAAGGUGCUCUCAUGUUAAAAACUAUAAUAUGUUUUCGUAAAGUUCUAUUUUGUGAAGCUCAAAUUAAGCAAACCAUGCCUCUUUUGAUUAUGCGGAAUGAAGUGAUUUGUAGUACGCUAUGCCUACUUGUUGUUACUAGGUUUCCCAUGCCAUGUAUCUCAUGAUUAGAUGUAUUGUGCAUCAUGUGAACAUGCUAACAUGAUGUUGUUGUUUGGUAGGGUCAAAUAUUUCUAGGUCUUAGAAUGUGAUUAUUUUAGAAUGCCAUGUUGUAGGGAUGCUAGCUACGAUUGUGUGCAUAUUUAGACCUUGCUAGUGUGGAAUGAAAUUAAGUUCAUCAUUCCCACUACCAUGCGGUAAAUUUUCAUGCCAUUACAUGAUAUGUAGCAUAUGGUUUUCUUGCUGCUAGUAUGCCUUCAUGAUAAAAACUGCACUGCUAAAAUUGUGUUCAACUUGCAUUUUGUGAGCUCAUUUCCUUAUAAUCCAUGCUUCUAUUAAAUGUUAUGUUAGGACAUGAUUGUUGUGCAUCUUGUCCAUUACUGCGUCAUGUCUUGUUUGUGCAUUUUAGACUCGUGUAGCUUGUUGUUUUGGGGUGUAGAAAAUGUCAGGUUGCUGUUUUUGGCAGAUUACGUCUAUUACUUGUGUUGGUUGUAUUUAUUAAAUAGUUGCUUCGUUUUAAACAUGCCAUAUAUGAAACUUGCUUAGAAUAUUAUGUAGUUUCAUAAUAUCUUGUUGCAUCCAUGAUUUAACAUGCUUGUAGCUGUCAUUUGCAUACAUUUUGCAUUCAUGGCAUAUUACCUUGUGAUGGUCUUAUCUUUUAGACCGUAACUCCGUUUUAAAUGAUCUAUAUAUGUAAACCGACUAGAAUGACGUGAAGAGUCACAUUGUCCACUUUAUUUUAAUGUUUAAUAA
rnacentral:lncRNA from 1 species